CGGUGGCCAGGUCGUCCUCCUCUAGUCCGGUGAGUGCAUCCCCUCCCCUGGUUUCAUCAUUUAUCUCCCUCUUUCUCAUCUCCAACGCGGGGCGCUAGGGGAGGCGCUAGGAUUUUUUCCCACUUGAAUUCCUGACCGAUUUGCGGUUGAGGCCGUCAAAUCCUGGCGUCGGACGCUUCGUCGGCGCAAAGAUAUGCAGCGGGCGCUUCCCUCCUUUCUUCCCCGCAUCAGCCGCAUGUGCAGUUUAAUUUAGUGUUUGAUUAGCGUUGGCAGUUAGUGUCCAGCGUUGGAAGGCAGGGCACUUAGAUGUUUUUCAAUUUAAUGUUAUUUUCACUUUCUUCUGUAAGCACCUAGCCAAGCGGCGAGCGUUGUAGAUGCCCUAACCUCUGCUCUUUUCUUCUCCUGUAGACGUGCAACCAACUGGCUGUAUAACCCUUCUCUCUACAGGGAAAACCAAUCCCAGGUGAACCAAUCCUAACCAUAGGUGCUGCCCACGACAUGGGUGACAUGAUGGAAGUAACCAAGUCCUCCAUUGUCCAGUCAUGGACGCGACUCAGUUCCUGUCUUCAGGUUUGGCCCCGUUAUAGGUAAGUGCUCAUGUCCCCAUUGAAGAAAAAUAAACGUAUGUGUAAAAUCCUCUUAUCAAUUUAACCAUUAGAUUUUUUAUUUUUUUCACUGAAAAAUUGUGCUGCUUUGUGGAAUUUCUUCAUCUUAUAAUGUUCUCCCAUGUAGUAAUUUGAACAGAUGAAGCAUAAAUAUACUAUUUCUGUUGUACACCUUAACUUAGUAUACGAUGGCUUGCUGUGCACAUGCUACAGCCAUGAUAUGUAUAUGGUUCCUUAUGUAUUGCAACGAUGGCUUUGAAACUGAGCAGAAUUAUUUCUUUUGCUGUUUAAUGGUUAGUUAUUGAUUUAUAUUUUGAAGAUUCUGCUCCUGUUUCCCUUCCGAAAUAAAAGUUGAUCUUCAAGUUUUCUUAGUCACACAUAUGAUUAUUAUGUACGACUACAACAUCAGCAAGGUGUUUUUAAUUAUUACCAAGUGAUGAAUAUUUGAACCACUAUUUGGCUGUAAGUUAGAUGCUUUCCCUUGCUUUCCGAAAAUAAUAUAGGUACUUCUGUUACAGCUCCGAGCUGAUGUGGUGUUACCUCAGUACAGUGUCCAAUAUAAAUUCUGUUAUGUAUUCAUAUGCACUUCUAGUCAAAAUAAAUCACAGUUGCAUUAUCUUUUCGUGAACAUGGUAUCUCGCUGUAUCCUUUAAAAAUCAUGAAUAAUAUUUAAAUAUUAGAAGUUUACCUUUUCAACUAAAAAGGAUAUUGUUAUUGUGGUUAACAUGAGUUCAGGACACAGUGCUUCUAUAGAUGUAUUUCUUCGGAUACUAUUCUCCACUAAAAGUCAGGAACGACUUCUAUUCUGCCUAUUACAUGUAUACAAUCUGGAAAGAACUAAUGCUUUAGUUCUGCAAAUUCUUUAUGGAAAGGGAAAGAACAAACUAGAUACAAGGAUAACCUUGAUGGACUAUUAUUUUUUAAUACUAUCAUCCUGUACUCAUGAAAUACACUACAAGGAAAUAAUCACCUAUAGGUUGUCCCUAGGCUGGUGCAGGGCUGGUGAUGACCAUGUAAAUUAAUUUCAGUGGAUUUGGGAUUGUAGGUUGGUUUCAAAGCGUGGUGAGCACUUAUAGGUUUCCCUAUUUCCUGUUGGAUGACCGAAACCAACUAGAAAUAGAUGUUUUGGUUCAGUUUCAGAUGACAAACCGUUUUGGUCUAGUUUGCUAACUAACUGGAGAAGAAAAGAGAAGUGGUACUGUCAAUCACAUUGCCCUAUGCACAUCACUUAGGCCAAUGUCUAUAUAAUUUUAAUUAGCCAUGUUUUCUGCAGGUUGUGUCGUAUAUUGUGGCGUCUGGAUUAGUCAUCAAGGACAACUAACACUCAUGCUGCUAUCUUCACAUAAUCACAUACGAAUUUGUGUUCAAAUUGUAGUGCUAUCUUGUUUAUUUGUUUCUUCUUAUUUGCUAUUAGACUGCUGUCCAGACCAAAAAAAUGUGCUGAUGAGCAGUAAGUGUGCGCAAAGUGGUUCUUACUUCUUAAUGCACUGUGUGUUAAUGGUUCAUUUUGUCAUUUUCUUUGUAGAGUCAAAAUAUACAUGGAUGAUUAUAUGGGUGCAUGGCAAGUACACUGCGAUGUGAUGAUGAUGAUGAUGAUGAUGAUGAUGCUGUUCCAGUUCAUGAUGAUGAUGAUGGAUGCUUUCAGUUUUAGUUAAGUUGUAGGGAUGUUGUUCCUAUUCGAUGAUGUUCCUCGGUUAUGUUUUAGUUAAGUAUCAGGGAUGUUGAUGGAUGCUUUUAGUUUAAGUUUCUUUGUCGAGAAUAUAUUUAGAUUUGCAUCACAUUUGGAUGCUCUUCCUCCUGUAUAUCCACUACUGUAAUCCAACAAUUUUAUCCAAUAUAUGAUUUCU
rnacentral:lncRNA from 1 species